rnacentral:lncRNA from 1 species
GUGAAGGUGGUGUUUAACUGGCCCUGGCCCAGAAGGAGGCCAAGAAGGACGGGCCUCAGAGUGUCAGAGAAGUGCUCAUCACCCAUGGCCCUUGCCCAGCACCCCAGAUGAAAUGGUAUCAACUGGCCAAAGAGGAGCCUGCUGUUCGUGUUGUUAAAUAGCAUUUUGGUGUCAUCUUUGGAGGGGCAUCCCCGUACAAAUAUUUUGCACUUCAACAAGAUGACAUAUACUACUGUGGAAUAAAGUAGAUCAGAUAUAAUGUCAUCUUGAGUGAGCCUUCUGAAGACGCCCUAGCUGCUUGCCACCAGUCAAUUGAGAAAAAUAUUACCAUCUAUUAAGAACUUGGAGGACGAUGAGGUUGAAUUCAUCACUGCAAAUUUGCAGACAGAGUCUGCAGACAGACAGUGAUCCUGCCAGCAAUGUUCAUGACCUUAACAAGAAGCUCACAGCCUGUUUGUAUCUUAGCCUGGACAAGUGCUGGGUGGUCCCUCUGAAGACUUCAAUUGUUAUGCUGCCCAAAUACUGACUGGAGUUGCUUAUUAACAUCAAGGCUGUUCUGUCCCAAUCCUAUCUGAUUCAUGGACACAUGGCUAUCACUGAUGGCACUGAAAACACCAAGCCCUGGAGUUUCUUUAUAUAUCACUGUGCUGUGAUAAAGGAAACU